ACGGCGAGUGAAGAGGAAAGAGCUCAAAGUUGGAACCUGUUUGGCUUAGCCAAACCGGAUUGUAAACUGUAGAAACGUUUUCCUGACACGCCAGAUUAAAAAGUCCUUUGGAACAGGGCAUCAUAGAGGGUGAGAAUCCCGUCUUUGGUCUGAGCUGUUGUCUUUUGCGAUACGUUUUCAAAGAGUCAGGUUGUUUGGGAAUGCAGCCUAAAUUGGGUGGUAAAUCUCACCUAAAGCUAAAUAUUUGCGAGAGACCGAUAGCGAACAAGUACCGUGAGGGAAAGAUGAAAAGAACUUUGAAAAGAGAGUUAAACAGUAUGUGAAAUUGUUAAAAGGGAACCGUUUGGAGCCAGACUGGCUUGAUCGUAAUCAAUCUAGGUUUCGACCUGGAUGCACUUGCGGUCUAUGCCUGCCAACGACAGUUCUUUUUGAAGGAUAAAACUAGGAGGAAUGUGACCCCGCUUCGGGGGGGUGUUAUAGCCUCUUAGAUAAUACUUUGAAUGGGACUGAGGAACGCAGUGAAUGCUUUCGGGCGAGAUUGCUGGGCGCUUUGGUUGAUAGAUGUCAAAAUUUCUGCUUCGGGUGGUGUUGAUGUCUUUGAAGCUAAACACGCUUGGUUAAUUUUCUAUUCACUUGGGUCGUUGGCUUAAUGACUCUAAAUGAC
rnacentral:rRNA from 1 species